AUUAUACUCCCUCUGUCCGAAAAUACUUGUCAUCAAAAUGGACAAAAAGGGAUGUAUCUAAAACUAAAAUACAUCUAGAUACAUCCCUUUUAUCCAUUUUGAUGACAAGUAUUUCCAAACGGAGGGAGUAUAUA
rnacentral:pre_miRNA from 1 species